rnacentral:rRNA from 1 species
UACGAAGGGGGCUAGCGUUGUUCGGAAUUACUGGGCGUAAAGCGCACGUUAGGCGGAUUGUUAAGUCAGGGGUGAAAUCCCGGGGCUCAACCCCGGAACUGCCUUGAUACUGGCAUUCUCGAGUCCGGAAGAGGUGAGUGGAAUUCCGAGUGUAGAGGUGAAAUGCGUAGAUAUCUGGAGGAACACCGGUGGCGAAGGCGGCGUUCUGGACUGCAACUGACACUGAUGAACGAAAGCCAGGGGAGCAAACGGG